AUUUAUUAGUUUAAAAUAAAACAUUAUAUUUUCAAUAUAAAAAUAAUUUCUUUUUAUAAAUAA
rnacentral:tRNA from 1 species